CCACAGCUAGUUAAGCCGACUUGCCCACCUCCUUGAUGGUUGCAAAAAGCAGAUUCCUUGGUUUUGUGUGCAGCUCAUUCCUUUUAUGUGCUCUAAGGGACCUUGUAGACAUCU